UGUCAUGACACAAGUCGUCAG
rnacentral:piRNA from 1 species